GUCCUAGAGCCCACUGUCAUGAAAAUGUAAAAUUUCAGAGUCGAAUCAAAUUGAGGAUAUUCCAGGUUGUGACUAAGAAAUUAAAACAAAGAAGAGCUUUCCGAGUCAUGCAGCAAAAAAACUUCAGGAAGGUCAAGGAAAUCAUUUCCUAGGUGAUCCUACUGAAUCUGUUCAUCUAAUUAUGUUCCAUUGCAACAUAUGGUUGAGCUAAAAUGUCCCAAGAUGCAAUCAGCACAGCCAGAAAAACAUAAUGCCAAGGAAUAACUUUAGUUUCAUAACAUGUUGAUUCAUUCAAAUUUCAAUACUAAAUACUGACAAAAAAAUCCUUACAUACAGCUAGCAACUCCUACAAAUAAAACUAAUAUAAUGCCCCAACUUUCUUGACAGCAAUAAAAUCUAACCUGAUACUCAA